UCGGUUCCGGUUCACGCUCAGCGCUUGCACGCGCGGGCGACCCGGCGACC
rnacentral:ncRNA from 1 species